GACGAACGCUGGCGGCGUGCCUAAUACAUGCAAGUCGAACGCAGUGGGGACGGGUGCGUAACACGUGGGUAACCUCCCAUCAGAGGGGAGAACACUUGGAAACAGGUGCUAAACCGAUACUGAUUGAUGGACCCGCGGUGCAUUAGCUAGUUGGUGAGGUAACGGCUCACCAAGGCCACGAUGCAUAGGCGAGCUGAGAGGUGGAUCGGCCACACUGGGACGUAGACACGGCCCAGACUCCUACGGGAGGCAGCAGUAGGGAAUGUUCGGCAAUGGACGCAAGUCUGACCGAGCAACGCCGCGUGUGUGAAGAAGGUUUUCGGAUCGUAAAGCUCUGUUGUUAGAGAAGCGGUAUCUAACCAGAAAGCCACGGCUAACUACGUGCCAGCAGCCGCGGUAAUAC
rnacentral:rRNA from 1 species